GACGAACGCUGGCGGCGUGCUUAACACAUGCAAGUCGAACGGAAAGGCCCUGCUUUUGUGGGGUGCUCGAGUGGCGAACGGGUGAGUAACACGUGAGUAACCUGCCCUUGACUUUGGGAUAACUUCAGGAAACUGGGGCUCAUACCGGAUAGGAGCUCCUGCUGCAUGGUGGGGGUUGGAAAGUUUCGGCGGUUGGGGCUGGAUUCGCGGCUUAUCAGCUUGUUGGGGGGGUAGUGGCUUACCAAGGCUUUGACGGGUAGCCCGCCUGGGAGGGUGACCGGGCACAUGAGGACUGAGGUACGGCCCAGACUCCUAUGGGAGGCAGUAGGGGGAAAUAUUGCACAAUGGGCGGAAGCCUGAUGCAGCAAUGCCGCGUGCGUGAUGACGGCCUUCGGGUUGUAAACCGCUUUCUCCUGUGACGAAGCGUGAGUGACGGUAAUGGGUAAAGAAGCACCGGCUAACUACGUG
rnacentral:rRNA from 1 species